CAUGCCACGCUUUUGAAAGAUGGUUUCGGCUAUCGCUUACAGAUGGGCCCGCGGUGCAUUAGCUAGUUGGUAGGGUAAUGGCCUACCAAGGCAACGAUGCAUAGCCGACCUGAGAGGGUGAUCGGCCACACUGGGACUGAGACACGGCCCAGACUCCUACGGGAGGCAGCAGUAGGGAAUCUUCCGCAAUGGACGAAAGUCUGACGGAGCAACGCCGCGUGUAUGAAGAAGGUUUUCGGAUCGUAAAGUACUGUUGUUAGAGAAGAACAAGGAUAAGAGUAACUGCUUGUCCCUUGACGGUAUCUAACCAGAAAGCCACGGCUAACUACGUGCCAGCAGCCGCGGUAAUACGUAGGUGGCAAGCGUUGUCCGGAUUUAUUGGGCGUAAAGCGCGCGCAGGCGGUCUUUUAAGUCUGAUGUGAAAGCCCCCGGCUUAACCGGGGAGGGUCAUUGGAAACUGGAAGACUGGAGUGCAGAAGAGGAGAGUGGAAUUCCACGUGUAGCGGUGAAAUGCGUAGAUAUGUGGAGGAACACCAGUGGCGAAGGCGACUCUCUGGUCUGUAACUGACGCUGAGGCGCGAAAGCGUGGGGAGCAAACAGGAUU
rnacentral:rRNA from 1 species